GUAGGGAAUUUUCGGCAAUGGGGGAAACCCUGACCGAGCAACGCCGCGUGAACGACGAAGGCCUUAGGGUCGUAAAGUUCUGUUGCGAAGGAAGAACGCCGGAGGGAGGAAAUGCCCUGCGGGUGACGGUACUUCGCGAGAAAGCCACGGCUAACUACGUGCCAGCAGCCGCGGUAAUACGUAGGUGGCGAGCGUUAUCCGGAAUCAUUGGGCGUAAAGAGGGAGCAGGCGGCCGUGAGGGUCUGUGGUAAAAGACUGAAGCUCAACUUCAGUGAGCCAUGGAAACCGGACGGCUGGAGUGCGGCAGAGGAUCGUGGAAUUCCAUGUGUAGCGGUGAAAUGCGUAGAUAUAUGGAGGAACACCAGUGGCGAAGGCGACGGUCUGGGCCUGCACUGACGCUCAUUCCCGAAAGCGUGGGGAGCAAAUAGGAUUAGAAACCCUAGUAGUCC
rnacentral:rRNA from 1 species